rnacentral:pre_miRNA from 1 species
AGUGCAAUUGAUGAGUUGUAUGGUAAUUGCAUGGUUAGUUUUAAAAUAAAUUGUCAAACUCUUUUCCAGAAUGGCUGUACCAUUUCACAUUCCCAACAACAAA